rnacentral:misc_RNA from 1 species
GAUGAAGAACGUAGCGAAAUGCGAUAAGUAAUGUGAAUUGCAGAAUUCAGUGAAUCAUCGAAUCUUUGAACGCACAUUGCGCCCGCCAGCAUUCUGGCGGGCAUGCCUGUUCGAGCGUCAUUUCAACCCUCGACCUCCCCUUGGGGAAGUCGGCGUUGGGGACCGGCAGCAUACCGCCGGCCCCGAAAUGGAGUGGCGGCCCGUCCGCGGCGACCUCUGCGUAGUAAUCCAACCUCGCACCGGAACCCCGACGUGGCCACGCCGUAAAACCCCCAACUUUCUGAACGUUGACCUCGGAUCAGGUAGGAAUACCCGCUGAACUUAAGCAUAUCAAUAAGCGGAGGA